UACGGGGGGGAGCAAGCGUUGUUCGGAUUUACUGGGCGUAAAGGGCGCGUAGGCGGCCACCGCAAGUCGACUGUGAAAUCUCCGGGCUUAACCCGGAAAGGUCAACUGAUACUGUGCGACUAGAGUGCGGAAGGGGCAACUGGAAUUCUUGGUGUAGCGGUGAAAUGCGUAGAUAUCAAGAGGAACACCUGCGGCGAAGGCGGGUUGCUGGGCCGACACUGACGCUGAGGCGCGAAAGCCAGGGGAGCGAACGGG
rnacentral:rRNA from 1 species